rnacentral:rRNA from 1 species
UACGUAGGGCGCAAGCGUUGUCCGGAAUUAUUGGGCGUAAAGAGCUCGUAGGCGGUUUGUCGCGUCUGCUGUGAAAGUCCGAGGCUCAACCUCGGAUCUGCAGUGGGUACGGGCAGACGUAGAGUGUGGGUUAGGGGAGACUGGAAUUCCUGGUGUAGCGGUGGAAUGCGCAGAUAUCAGGAGGAACACCAAUGGCGAAGGCAGGUCUCUGGGCCACAACUGACGCUGAGGAGCGAAAGCAUGGGGAGCGAACAGG